rnacentral:rRNA from 1 species
AUGCGCUCCGACGAGCACACGUUCGGCCCCGCCGGAGUGGGGCUGCAGCACCUUCACGGGCACGUCGAUAACCCCGACGGAGUGGAGCUGCAGCUCCUUCGCGGGCACUUCUUCUUGGACGACGACGACGGCAGCGCUAGGUUCGCGGACGAGAAAGCCUCGGCAGAGUCAUUGUCGGCGACGGCUCUGGACGCGGCGAAGCGGGCGGCGGUGGGAGUGGGCGCGCGGGUGCUCUUCUACCCGAAGCUGGCCUACAAGCUGGUGGCCGGCCGGCCGGCUCGGGGCAAAGCCUCGGAGGAGUCGUCGUCAUCGUCAUCGUCAUUGGCGACGACUCUAGACGCGGCCAAGCACGCGGCGGUGGGCGUGGGCGCGCGGGCGCUCUUCUACCCGACGCUCGCCUACAGCCUGGCCCGGGACCGCCUCUCGUCCGACUUCCACUGGUGGGACCGCAUCGACGGCACCAACAUCCUGCUCGGCGCCGUCCCGUUCCCGAGCGACGUGCCGGCCCUCCACGCCGACGGCGUCCGCGCCGUCGUCACGCUCACCGAGCCCUACGAGCGGCUCGUGCCCAAGUCACUGUACGUUAAACACAAGAUCGAGAACCUGGUGCUGCCAACCACGGACUACCUCUACGCGCCGUCGCAGAAGGACCUCCGCGAAGCCACGGCGUUCAUCCGCGGCGUCGCGGAGAAAGGGGAAUCGGCGUACGUGCACUGCAAGGCCGGGCGCGCGCGCAGCGCCACGGUGGUGAUGUGCUACCUGGUGAGGUACAAGGGGAUGACGGCGGAGGAGGCGAAAGCACACGUGGAGAGGUGCCGGCCCAGGGUGUCGCUGGCUCCGGCGCAGUGGCAGGCGGUCCAGGACUUCGAGGACUUCUGCCGGCGGCCGGCCGGUGGCUCGGAGUGA